GGAACAUCUCACCAAUUUUAAAUCAGUUUUUCAAGUGGUACCUGAGAUUCAGCACUUCUAAAAAGCUCCAAGGUGAUGAAGGUGCUGCUAGUUGGAGGCCAUACUUUGAGUUGCCAGAUGCUAAAAAUUCAACAGAUGGGGUAUGUAAGCAGAUAGUGUAGCAUAUUGAAAACAACUCUCAGUUUGAAUCAGAAGCCUGGGUCUGUGAUAUUAUGACACUAACUAGCUUAAUAUUUUGUGGAUUAUUGUGCAUGAAAUAUAUCCAUUUAAAUAUCAUACUUUCAAUUUAAAUUAUGGGUUUCAACUUUGCCAGGCAAAUAUAAUCAACAAUAUAUUCAAUAGUAUGCCACAGCUAAAGACACAAAUGAAAACAAUGAUCUCAGACUUUUGAUCCAGGUGCCAAGUUAGAAAAAGAAGUUAAAACAGUGUAGUUUAUUUCUGUUCAAUGUCCUGUAUAGGUGGAAACUAAUUUCAGGGUUAAUUUUUGGUUAAACAACUAGCUUGGAAAUUUAUAAUUAUUUGGGAUUGAGGACCAAACAAGGUGAGGCACGAUAAAGAAAUUAGAAGGGGAUCGCUAUGAAAAUCAAGAUGAAUAAAACGAAGGGAGUGUUUACGG
rnacentral:lncRNA from 10 species